rnacentral:rRNA from 1 species
AUUGAACGCUGGCGGCAUGCCUUACACAUGCAAGUCGAACGGUAACGCGGGGCAACCUGGCGACGAGUGGCGAACGGGUGAGUAAUGUAUCGGAACGUGCCCGGUUGUGGGGGAUAACUGCUCGAAAGAGCAGCUAAUACCGCAUACGACCUGAGGGUGAAAGCGGGGGAUCGCAAGACCUCGCGCAAUUGGAGCGGCCGAUAUCAGAUUAGGUAGUUGGUGGGGUAAAGGCUCACCAAGCCAACGAUCUGUAGCUGGUCUGAGUGGACGACCAGCCACACUGGGACUGAGAAACGGCCCAGACUCCUACGGGAGGCAGCAGUGGGGAAUUUUGGACAAUGGACGCAAGUCUGAUCCAGCCAUGCCGCGUGCGGGAAGAAGGCCUUCGGGUUGUAAACCGCUUUUGUCAGGGAAGAAACGCUCUGGGUUAAUACCUCGGGGUAAUGACGGUACCUGAAGAAUAACCACCGGCUAACUUCGUGCCAGCCGCCGCCGUAACAC